rnacentral:rRNA from 1 species
UACGUAGGGGCCGAGCGUUGUCCGGAUUUAUUGGGCGUAAAGAGCUCGUAGGCGGUUCGGCAAGUCGAAUGUGAAAUCUCCACGCUCAACGUGGAGGGGUCAUUCGAUACUGCCGUGACUUGAGUACGGUAGGGGAGUGUGGAAUUCCCGGUGUAGCGGUGAAAUGCGCAGAGAUCGGGAGGAACACCAGUGGCGAAGGCGGCAUCCUGGCCCUGACCUGACGCUGAGGCGCGAGAGCGUGGGGAGCAAACGGG